GCCGCCCUUGAAAGUGUUUAUCACGAGCUUCUGCAGAGUCAAACAACUCCAUCUUGAAAUAAAUGCACCCGACUGGGAAGCGCAACGAAGGAGUGGAAUUUGCCACCUUGACUGAGCACGCAGACGUCACUAUUCUUUUUUUUUUUUUUUUUUUUUAGCUAUUGAGCGUCAUCCCCCUUUAUCAGAAAAUUAGCAACUUCAAUGUCGACCAUCCUUGCAGCAGCCUGCUCAUGUGAACAGCUGGCCUCAGAGGCAUCCAAGAAUAACAAGACGCCUGCCUGGAGCGUAUCUCAGCAAAACAGACUGGAAAGGUCUCAAGGCAGCGCCGUUGGCCUUGCCCUGCGGGAGGAAUGUCGCGACGACGGAAAGAAUGUCUCCCCGGAGACAGAGGAGGAUGGCCGCAGCACAGCGACGACGUCAAAGACCUCGGUCGCUCACCAAUAACGGGCUGUGUCCCAGACGUCAAGAACAACAGUCGCAGGCAAAGAGACGGGUGGAGUCCUCGUUCCAUUCGCGCUGACCCUAAUGAGCGUGCUGCAGCAAGUGGAUUCCGAGAACCGCCAGGAAAAGUCAACAGAGAUCACGUUGGCUGCAUCCAAUCUUGGAUCGCAGAGCCCGUCACGAGAUCUGCUAUUCGAGAGAGUUCUCAACAUUCUUCAUUUAGGAUGGCGCAAGCAGCGAGAAAGAUAUCUUCAACAAGAAGCCUAAACCUGGUUACCACGCGAACGACUGGCGCCCCUACACUUCCCACGUGGAAGGUCGCGGUGUAUCACCUGUAUUUUUAUCAACGACAAAUAGGACCAAGCGCGAUUCAACCCUUUUCUUUUGUGGCGGAAGUGGUCGCGUGCGGAAGCCCAUCCCGUCCGUCAUAAACCUUGACCUGCUGUGCGCACGUCCGCGGUCUCUGCAACGGUCUCUGGUCGGUAGAACGUGGACCGAGAAUGUGGGUCAACCCCUCCUCGCUACCCGGAAAACGCUUUUGUCCCGAGAGAAAAAAAAAGUAAAAGUGCACACACAUGGCAGAGAAAUGUGACCUCGUUACAGUAGGUAGUACACUACAACAAGGAUUCUCCAGUUGGUGCACUGCAAUACUCAUGCUUACUAUACAUGCACUUCAACGUGGUAGACAUUUAAACUUCCAAUAAGUCUUGGUACAUAGCAAAUUUCUAGCUUUCAGAUAUCGUCCCCUUACUGCUGUUCUUUUUCUUUUUCUUUUUUAGAUCAAAAUAAUUGCGAUACUACUUGCCCUAAGUUAUAUCGGAUGAAUGUGCAAGAGUUUGACAUGAAUCUGCGUGAACCGUUACACGAGAAGUUUUACAACAGUGGGGGUAAGGGAGGCACAGAGAAUGCAGAAACUCAUUCGGCUGUGACGACAUGGCGAGCAUCCCUGCCAAUCAGGCGACCGCUCGGAAUGUCACGUGCUUCGGAGAACCAGUAGGCUUAUGCCAAGUAUGCUCGUCCUUAGAAGAGCCGAGCCUCUCGCACCUGUGACGUCAGAGGUCGACGCGAAGGCGUGUUCAUGUAUAUGUGUCUCUAACUACGACAGGAAUCAGAAAUAAUUAUUUUUCCUCUGUAUUCUCUUGCGUGUAGUAUAAUGCGCACAUGGUGCGGUAUCUAUCAAGAUAUCUCAACUCCUUUUGAACAAAGUGUACACAAUUUAUUUAUUUAUUUGCUUAUUUAUUUAUUCAUGAAAUAUCCCAUUUGCAGGACACACAUUAAUGCGAAGGAAAAGGACGUGUUCAGUUGUCGCAUGUUACUGCGCCGGGCUUUUUUUUUUUUACAUUUCAGCGCGGCAACGGGUGUUUUCGUGGGGGAAAAAAAAAGAACGACCGUUUCUAUUUUGUAGCUACACAGAAAGGAGAAACAAGAAU